GAUGAACGCUAGCUACAGGCUUAACACAUGCAAGUCGAGGGGCAUCAGGGAGUAGCAAUACUCCGCUGGCGACCGGCGCACGGGUGAGUAACACGUAUCCAACCUGGCUUUAACUCGGGGAUAGCCUCUUGAAAGAGAGAUUAAUACCCGAUAGUAUAUGAGAUCCGCAUGUUUUUCAUAUUAAAGGAUUCCGGUUAAAGAUGGGGAUGCGUUCCAUUAGAUUGUAGGCGGGGUAACGGCCCACCUAGUCUUCGAUGGAUAGGGGUUCUGAGAGGAAGGUCCCCCACACUGGUACUGAGACACGGACCAGACUCCUACGGGAGGCAGCAGUGAGGAAUAUUGGUCAAUGGGCGGAAGCCUGAACCAGCCAAGUAGCGUGAAGGAUGACUGCCCUAUGGGUUGUAAACUUCUUUUAUAAGGGAAUAACCACAGGUACGUGUACCUGUCUGUAUGUACCUUACGAAUAAGCAUCGGCUAACUCCGUGCCAGCCGCCGCAGUAAGAC
rnacentral:rRNA from 1 species